AUUCUGCCCAUGCGGGGAAGGAUGAGAAGCUUCGACCAAGGUUCGACUCGAGCGUCAGCGAGAGAGCGUUGCCGCAGGCAACGACCCGUAGGGCGAAGCGCGCAGCGCUGAGUAAUCCUUCCCCCACCACCA
rnacentral:sRNA from 1 species